rnacentral:rRNA from 1 species
UACGUAGGGUGCGAGCGUUGUCCGGAAUUAUUGGGCGUAAAGAGCUUGUAGGCGGUUUGUCGCGUCUGCUGUGAAAAUCCGGGGCUCAACCCCGGACUUGCAGUGGGUACGGGCAGACUAGAGUGUGGUAGGGGAGACUGGAAUUCCUGGUGUAGUGGUGGAAUGCGCAGAUAUCAGGAGGAACACCGAUGGCGAAGGCAGGUCUCUGGGCCACUACUGACGCUGAGAAGCGAAAGCAUGGGGAGCGAACAGG